GACGAACGCUGGCGGCGUGCUUAACACAUGCAAGUCGAACGGAAAGGCCCUGCUUGCAGGGUACUCGAGUGGCGCACGGGUGAGUAACACGUGGGUGAUCUGCCCUGCACUUCGGGAUAAGCCUGGGAAACUGGGUCUAAUACCGGAUAGGAGCCAUUCUUAGUGUGAUGGGUGGAAAGUUUUUUCGGUGUAGGAUGAGCUCGCGGCCUAUCAGCUUGUUGGUGGGGUAAUGGCCUACCAAGGCGGCGACGGGUAGCCGGCCUGAGAGGGUGGACGGCCACAUUGGGACUGAGAUACGGCCCAGACUCCUACGGGGGGCAGCGGUGGGGAAUAUUGCACAAUGGGCGCAAGCCUGAUGCAGCGACGCCGCGUGGGGGAUGACGGCCUUCGGGUUGUAAACUCCUUUCGCUAGGGACGAAGCUUUUUGUGACGGUACCUAGAUAAGAAGCACCGGCUAACUACGUG
rnacentral:rRNA from 1 species